rnacentral:lncRNA from 1 species
AAUUCUUUCAGGCUUUUUAAUAGGUAAUCAGACUGUCUGGAAAUAAUGACAAUUGUAUUUCUCCAAUCACUAUUCCUUAUUCUUUUUCUUGUCUCCCUUUACCUGGUAACUAGAAGUGGUGACAGAGGCUUCCCUGUCUCCCCCCUAGUUUUGACAGCAAUCCUGACAUUCCAUUAUGUAGCGUGAUCGUAGACACUGUUUAUUGGGCUAUGAGGUUUUCUUCUCUUCCAAGUUUGCUUUCUUUUCUUUAAAUCAAUAAUAAGGGUUGAACUUUACGGAUUGCUUUUUUAGCAUCUAUGAGUUGAUCAGAUUGUUUCUCUUCUUUAAUCUAUUAAUGUAGUGAAUUGUAGGAGCAAAUUUUUUAAAUAUUUCAAACUAUCUUUUCAUUCCUGGGGAGAACCCAUCUUGGUCAUGGUCUAUCAUGUUUUUGCCAUUCAACGCUAGGUUCCGUUUAAUACUUUGUGUAGAAUGUUUGUAUUUUAGCCAGAUUGGCUCUCAUCUUCCUUUCCCAUAUUGUACUUGUCUGCAUUUGUCUUUGUCUUUAAGAUCACACUAUGGCCAGGCCUGGUGGAACACACCUGUAAUCUCAGUGGCUUGGGAGGCUGAGGCAGGAGGAUUGAGAGUUCAAAGCCAGCCUCAGCAACUUAGCAAGGCCCUAUCUCUAAAUAAAAUAGAAAAAAAGGCUGGGGUUGUGGCUCAGUGAUUAAGCGCCCUGGGAUUCAACCCUUGGUAUCAAAAAAAAAAAAAAAAGAAAAUAAAAUAAAAUCACACUCUGCUCAUGAAAUGGAGCCUAGGGAUGUUCUUUUUUCUUUCUUCCUUGCUUUCUUUUUAUUUUCUGAAAAAGUAUGAGAUUGGAGCUGUCUGUUCUUUGAAUGUAUGGUAGACUGCAGUAAAAAUCAUGAGGCUAAUGAUGUGAGGGGUAUUUUUUUGAGGGUGGUAGAUGGACUUUUAUCUACAUAUUCAAAUUUCUUUAAUGGUUAUACAUUUCAAAUUUCCUGGAGUAUUGGUAAGAUAUCUUUCUAGAUAUCUUAUAUUUCUAGGAUAGUGUUUAUCUUGGGAAGGUUUUCAAACUUAUCAUCAUAAGACUUACGGUUUAUUUGCAGUUUAUUUUAG